rnacentral:rRNA from 1 species
AACGAACGCUGGCGGCAUGCCUAACACAUGCAAGUCGAACGAGACCUUCGGGUCUAGUGGCGCACGGGUGCGUAACGCGUGGGAAUCUGCCCUUGGGUUCGGAACAACAGUUGGAAACGACUGCUAAUACCGGAUGAUGACUUCGGUCCAAAGAUUUAUCGCCCAAGGAUGAGCCCGCGUAGGAUUAGCUUGUUGGUGAGGUAAAAGCUCACCAAGGCGACGAUCCUUAGCUGGUCUGAGAGGAUGAUCAGCCACACUGGGACUGAGACACGGCCCAGACUCCUACGGGAGGCAGCAGUGGGGAAUAUUGGACAAUGGGCGAAAGCCUGAUCCAGCAAUGCCGCGUGAGUGAUGAAGGCCUUAGGGUUGUAAAGCUCUUUUACCCGGGAUGAUAAUGACAGUACCGGGAGAAUAAGCCCCGGCUAACUCCGUGCCAGCAGCCGCGGUAAUAC